ensembl:lncRNA
ACACCACCUUCACAUUCCUGUGCUGUGCUGAUUCAUUUUGAACACUCCACAUCACAGCAGUCACACACAAGCCAUCAGCCAUCAGAAUAGGUUGUAGAAAGUUCGUAGAAAAACGACCACAACACACACACUCAAACACAGCAAGGUCAGGAAGCAACAAGUCAUUCAGCGUUCUGCUGGCUGCCUCUGAGGUAACGAGAAGCAAGCUCUCCUGCGUCGCCAUCGAAGGGAUGGCUCGGCCAGCCGAGUGCCGCUGUGUCCACUACCUCUUCCUUGCCUGGCUCCUCUUCCUCACCGCCGGCCAGGUGGUCUUCCUCACCCUCCACUACACCGCAGGAGUACACAACAGGUCUCAGGGUGUGGUCACACCACAGUCCACAAGAGAAAUCAAACACAACCUUAAACCACAGGUAAUCAAUCUAUAGAUCUAUUUUUAAUGCAGCAUUUCGUUUUCGUUUCUAUCCACCCUUAUUGCCACUUGGCAGUAGUAUGGUUAAAAUACGUCAGCAUCUUCUUUUUCUUUCGUCUCUUCUUUGUAUUGCUUUUCUGAGAACAGUCUACAUCCUUCUUCUUUUUUUCCCCUCAUGUAACGGCCUAUCAAUAGAGUAGCUCUACCACUCGGUUUCUGUUUUCUGUUGAUCUGGCUGUGUUCUUUUUAUGAAAUUUGUAUGAUAUUAAUAAUACUUGAGCACUUUCAAUCUCCACAGGUCAAGGAGAAGAUAGCAGAGAUUUUUUCAGGCAAAAUGAUCAAUCUCGAAGCCUCAAAAGUGGACGGCGAGGGACGCAUCCAGUGGAGAACCAGGAGGCCGGAGCCGUCCCUGCUCACGCUGGCCGGGGAGGUCGUGACCCUGGGGCAGGACGCCUACUACUUCCUGUGUCUGACGGUGACCCUGAAUAACGUGGGAGGGGCUGCCGGGGUGAUGGUCACCCUGAAGCGCAACAACCACGUCAUCAUGGAGGGCCGUGUCGACGCGGCCACGUUCAGCACGGGGCCCCUGGUCAGGGUGGAGGACAUGUCAGCCGGGGACAAACUGGUGGUCACCGUCACGGCCCUCGGCAGAGUCGAUGGGACUUCCCCGGGGAAGACCAACCUGGGGAUCAUCUGCCUGCCAAAACCGCAGCCUUCCCUCCCAGCCCCACCACAACCACCGCCGCCUGGGAAGGAACAAAGAGGAUAGAUGACCACGGUUCCUUGACGCCGUUUUGAGCGCCAGCUAAAGGGAAGAGUAUGGUUCCACGUCGACGCAACGCAAGGGGGUUUACGGACCCACGUCGUUGCGGACCCUCCUUGAGUCCGCCUCAAGGGCCGACGCGCGCCUCCCAAAAAUUGAAGCAAGGGCUGUGAUUGGUCCGCCAACUAAAACCCCGACUAUUUGCAUUAUUUACUUUAUUGACAGUUUUUCGGAAAGCUAUUGUUAUUUUAUUUAUUGAUUGAUAAUGUAUCCUGUCUAUAAGUCAGGUUUCAGGUUGACGUGCGGAUCAGUUGAUGACUUCACAUGUGAAUGUAUGGCAGUGAGCUAACAGCAUAGAAGUUGUGUAAAUGACUCAAAAUAUAUUAUUGAGCUGUAUCUGUAUGUGCUGCCUUUGAAAGUCACGUCCGUUGGUCAUUUGGUUCAAAUGUAAUAAACAAAAAAAUCUUAA